rnacentral:rRNA from 1 species
UACGAGUGCCCCAAGCGUUAUCCGGAGUUACUGGGCGUAAAGGGUGCGUAGGCGGCUUUUUAAGUUUGGUGUGAAAUCUCCCGGCUCAACUGGGAGGGUGCGCCGAAUACUGAGAGGCUAGAGUGUGGGAGAGGAAAGUGGAAUUCCUGGUGUAGCGGUGAAAUGCGUAGAUAUCAGGAGGAACACCGGUGGUGUAAACGGCUUUCUGGACCAUAACUGACGCUGAGGCACGAAAGCGUGGGUAGCAAACAGG